CCCGGCAGAAUAGCUGCCCAAGAAGCCCUACAGCAUCUGAACGCCGGAGGAGCAGAGGCGACUGGGGACAGGCGCUCAGGGUGCCCCCGAACCACCGAGGGCGAGUCCUCCCGGGCGCAGCAGGGGCCGCGGGAGUCCAGGGUCCGAGUCAGGGCGGAUACAGGGGUCAGUCGUCCGGGAGCGGGAGGCCUCCUCGGAGGGCAGCCCUGCCGGCAAGUAACUGCCGCCCGAGACCCGCAGGGAAGGAGAGGCUGAGCGGAAAAAGGCCCCCGGCGGGGACAGGGGGCGCGGGCUCAGUCUCCGUCAGCGGAGAGGGAAGGGACGACCACCCACCAGUGGGCAAGAGGGGACCAGUUUCUGCCCAUAGAGAGAAGGGCGAAGCCCUGCCGGAGGGCAGCAGAGGAGGGACAGACCCCGCCGCCGGUGGCCAGGAGGAAGUAUCCGCAUUCUCCUUGUUCCCCACCGCCCUCUUGCACCUGAAUGCCGCUGUGUGUACACACCUACUCCGAAGAGGUUCUCGUUGGGCCGCCAUCUUCUCAACUAUGCUUCUUCUCAGCCAAUCAGGAGACAGUAUCACGUAGCUCGCGGUGCCGCCUUGGAUUCUGGGAGUUCUUGGUAUCCUCUGGGCAGGUCAACAUGGCCCCAGUUCCUUGGCAUUCUCUUUACCCAUGUCCUAACCCUAACCUCAGUCAUGCACACCCCUGAGGUCACACAGAGAUCUCAAAUUCCAGCUCUCUCCAAUUUUCUUUUUCUAUUUUUUAAAAAUUAUUUUUGUUUGUUUAUUGGAUAGAGACAGCCAGAAAUUGAGAGGAAGGGGGAGAGGGACAGACACUUGCAUCCCUGCUUCUCCACUCUUGAAGCUUUCCCCCUGCAGGUGGGGACUGGGGGCUUGAACCCAGGUCCUUGAGCACUGUAAUGUGUGCACUCGACCAGGUGCGCCACCACCCGGCCCCAUCUCUCCAAUUUUCUGCUUCAUUUUCGACCAUCUUAGUCAAUGUUCAUUCUUCUCGACCAUUUCUUUCUUCCCAUUGAAUAAACAAAUAGUCGGUUACCAA